CUCACUUAGAAAAUAAAUUCAUUGUGUUGGUAAGAAACAAAGUGGAGGAAGCUCAAUUUGUAUCAAGAUCAAUAAUAAUUUUGGAGAAAACCAUUACCACUUGGUCUUGCCCUUGUAAUUCUAGUGAUACUAGCUAAGGUAAAACACUGACUUCCAUGUAUCAAAGUGGUAGCAUCCUCCAUGACUCGUCUCCUUGACUUGGAUGCCUUUAUCGGAUGACUAAUGUCUAUCGAAAAGAAAUCAGUCUAGCCUCACAGAGCUCGUUUCCGCAUUCAACAAUGGUGGCACCUACAAUGCGUGCUUCCUCAAGCAGUUUCACCGAUCAAAUGCAAGAUCAAUCAAGUCCGUACUAUGUUCAUCCUAGUGACGGUCCUUCCUCCAUCGUCGUUAAGCAUCUUCUUAUUGGUUCCAAUUACCAUUCAUGGGCGAGAUCGAUGUGGCAUGCUCUCGGCGCAACGAUGAAGUAUACGAGUUCGUCGAUGGUUCGAUUUCGGUGGUUACAGAUCCGUUCGAUCCUACCUUCUAUGCUUCAACUCGUUGCAACAUGUUAAUCCAUUCUUGGAUCUUGAAUUUAGUAUCUGA